AUUGAACGCUGGCGGCAGGCUUAACACAUGCAAGUCGAGCGGGGAAGGGUAGCUUGCUACCUAACCUAGCGGCGGACGGGUGAGUAAUGCUUAGGAAUCUGCCUAUUAGUGGGGGACAACAUUCCGAAAGGAAUGCUAAUACCGCAUACGCCCUACGGGGGAAAGCAGGGGAUCUUCGGACCUUGCGCUAAUAGAUGAGCCUAAGUCGGAUUAGCUAGUUGGUGGGGUAAAGGCCUACCAAGGCGACGAUCUGUAGCGGGUGUGAGAGGAUGAUCCGCCAAACUGGGACUGAGACACGGCCCAGACUCCUACGGGAGGCAGCAGUGGGGAAUAUUGGACAAUGGGGGGAACCCUGAUCCAGCCAUGCCGCGUGUGUGAAGAAGGCCUUUUGGUUGUAAAGCACUUUAAGCGAGGAGGAGGCUACCGAGAUUAAUACUCUUGGAUAGUGGACGUUACUCGCAGAAUAAGCACCGGCUAACUCUGUGCCAGCCGCCGCAGUAACAC
rnacentral:rRNA from 1 species